CCGAGGCGGGGCUCGAACUCAUGGACCGCGAGAUGGUGACCUGGCUGAAGUCGGACGCUUAACCGACUGCACCACCCAGGCGCCCCGCUGAGGCCAAUACUCUUAAGGAUAAUGGAGCUGUGAGCUGGAUGGAGCCUGUGUCCCUGAAGAGAUCAUGAACAGAGCCACUAGACCAGUCGUUGGCCACCUACUUCUGUACUUUUACAGGAGAGAGAAACAACUAUCUUAGGUAAGCCACUAUUUUGGGGGACCUUGAUUACUCUUGGUUGAAUCUACUCUUAACCUGUACAACAGGAAAAACACUUAAGUGAUAUCAUAGUGAGCAAUUCAACAACUGUUGGGUAAGCGUUAUUAUUAUUGUUAUUUUGCAUUAAAUAAUGGAUGAGGAGGCUAAAUCACAGUUGACCUGGAACAACAGGGGUUUGAACUACACAGGUCCCCUUGCCUGUGGAUGUUUUUCAAUAAAUACAGGGCAGUACUGUAAAUGUGCUUUCUCUUCCUUAUGAUUUUCUUAAUAACAUUUUCCUUUCUCAAGGUUACUUUAUUGUAAGAAUACGGUUUACAAUACACGUGACAUAGAAAAUAGGUGCCAGUCGACGGUUUCUAUCACAGUUGCUGUUUUGGCCGUCUCAGAACAAAGUCAGGCAGGAAGUCGGCACAAGAUACCUACCAGCUAUGGACUUUGUCAGUUUUCCAAAUGCUCUUCUGCCCCAGGGAUGCACAGACCCUCAGGCAAAACCACCCCUGCAAAGAAUGCUCUGCUGGGAUCACUUCCGCCAGCCAAAGCCCCAUUCUCUCAGGCACAGGGGAGCAGGUUUUGACUCAAAGGAGCACCGGAGCCACUGACAUAAACCCUGCUGUGACCUUGCCCCCACCCACCACCCUCUCCUUUCUCAUAACUAACCUCCCAUAAGACUCCCAGAGCCAUUGACCUCCUCUUCCACACUUCUCCGCAGGCAGCCUGGCUUAUUCCUCCCACCUCUCCCUCUAGGGAUCCUACCCUAUGAGUCAUCAACAAACUUCUUGUCAAGUUCAAAGGCCAGUGCCCUUGGCCCCUUGGCUGUACGUGAAAUCCUCAACUGUUCAUUCUUCAAACUUUUCUUCCCUUGGUUUCUAUGAAAUCAAGCCUCUCCUAGUUCUCCUGGUCUCUCUCUGAACAUUCAAGUUCUUGUUUCUUCCUCCUCGCAGCCUUUGCUUGUUGUCCGGGACGUCGCCCUCCGCCCACCGGUGUUCUCUCCCUCACACCCUCUCGCCACUGAUUCUUUCUUAGUGUCAGCCAUGAUUUCCAUGAUCUACAUGCCGAUAACUCCAGCCCAGACGUUUCUCCUCUGACUUCUAUUUCCUGGAGGUGCUGGUCCUCACAUGGGUGUCGCGUGGGCCUGAGAUCCGCCAGGUCCAGGGCUGAAUUCAUCUCCCCAUCAGGGCUCUUUGGCUGCAAGCAACAGGGACUGACCCUGACUUGCCAGUGCACGGAAGAGACUAAUUGGAAGGAUUGCAAGAUGGUUCCUAGAAUCAAGGGAAUCACUGGACAGCCUGGCGUCUGGUAGCCUGAACAAGGCCACUGCCCAGAUUCAAGUUCCCGAGAGCAAAUUUGACACACCCAGCUCAGAUCAUGGCCCCACUCCUUGGGGUCUGUAAUCAAAAUAAAGUGGAAUGAGAGACGCAAAAGGUCUCAGACAAGACAGCAGCCACCAAGCCUUCCAAGUUUGUUUUUCUUCUGGACCAGAAGGGAGUCUCUCUCUCUGUCUCUCUCUGUCUCUCCCUCCCCCUCUCCCUCACUCUCUCUCUCCCCCCUUCCCCCAACUCAGGUAUCUCAACGCCAGUCAGUCAUUACAUUCUGAGAUUUUUAAAGUAGUUCUCCAAAUGAUGGCCUUCUCCAUCCCUUGGACCUCUGGCCUCCUUUGGAGUCUUAUGAUCUCUUGGCUUGAUGACUACUGGUGGCCUCCUAAAAAGUCUCUGCUCCCUCUCUUGUCCACCUCAAGAUUGUCCUCCACGUGAUAGCCAGAGUGAUCUAUCUAAAUCCAGAGCUAGCCACGUGACUCCCCUGUUUGAGCUCCUUAACCUAGAGGGUGAGCUAUGGGACUGGCAGCCCACAUUUCUUGUUACCAAAUAAAAUUCUGCGGGGACCUGGCCCCUACCCACAACCCCUUCGCUGCAACCUGGUUUUUGUCUGUUUGUCUGUCUGUCUGUUUUUGCUUCUGGCACUCCCUCUUCCUGCGUGGCUUUCUUCUCCCCCUACCACUGUACCCCCACCUGGCCGUUACCAGUUUACCUUUAAAAAUCGAAUGAGGCUUCACGUCCUCAAGGCUGCCCUCCCUAAGCCUUUCCUGACAUUUCACGAGGUGUUGAGGAUCCCUCCUGAGCGCUUCCAUAAUGCCCUGAGCAUAUCUCUAUGAUCACCACACACAACCCACUGUUUGAGGAGUAUCUGUUCAGGUGCCUAUCUCUCCUACUAUCUACACAUUCUUGAAAAGCAGGGAUAAGACAAGGCAUACAUACAGUAGGUGCUUAAUAAACGGUGGGGUUUGUUUUUGGUUUUUUUUGAAUGGUCACUGACUUUGGUAAAUCAUGUAACAUCUUCUGGGUUGCAGCUUCCUCACUGCAAAAAGGAGAUAGGUCGACCUCUCCCGUGUUGUGCGAUUAAGUGAGAUGAUAUAAAUGGAACGCCUUGCAUGGUGCCUGGCACGUGAAACCGCGUUCCAAGAUCAGGGAGGCAAGUGUCAGAAGGAGAAAACGGCCAGCGUCUGGAGCUCAGAAGAGAACAAGCCCCUGCUAUUUCCUCCACGACAACGACGACAACAGUUGCCCCGGCCGCGACGGAGCUGGCUUCCCCUGCCCUUGGGUACCACACGACGUCCCGCACCCCCAUCAUCUUUCUGUGGGAUUUCUCUCCACACGCUCCACGGAGGAACCGGGUUCAGGUUACAUCGCAUCUUGUCAAUUCCACCAGACUGGCUGGCGUGCUUUCUUUCCCCGAGGCAAAACCAAAGUCUAGAUGAUGGAAACAGACCCGGAAGAGUCGGCAGGCAGCAAAAGGCAAGGCCUGGGAGGGAUGCUGGCCCAACUGUGCUAGGUUGGUUCCGAGGACUCGCUUCGGGACCCCUGCCUCAAAGAGCAAAGUGUAUUCCGGGAGAAGAAGCAGACAGCUUCCUGCACGUCACUAACCUUACGAAGCACCGCAGGGCAAAGACCGAGGAGACCAAAAGUAAGGGGGCAGGGAUGCAGCCCAAAGGGGUGUGAGACUCUAUCCAAUGGGGUACAAAAUGCAGAACUUUUUUUUGUUUUGAAUCUGCUUUGGUACAUGUAUCAUAACGUACAUAACUGUGUCCAGUAGGCUCAGUUUGGGCUGAGAUUAAGAAAGAAGAGCAUAGCCAAAAUGACAGGAGCUUCAGCAGGAAACAAGUUAAUUUGCCCCUCAUGUAAAUGGACUCCGGAGGCAGGCCGCUCGGCUGGUGAGCUGUCUUUCCUGGUUGCUCCAACAUUCUCAACAGGCAGCUGCCACUUCACUAUCCAAGGCUGUUGCUCAUGGCCAAGCCGUCCUGUUCACGUUCUAGGCGGCAAGGAGAAAGAAAGGAAGAAUCACAUGUGCCUCCUGUGAGGACACUUCCUGGAAACUGUACUGUCCGCAUUUAGCAUUUACCUAGCAUUUUGUCACAUGACUUUGCGAGCUGCAAAGGAUCCUACGAAACGUCAUCUCUUAGGGAAUGCUAAACGUGCCUAUCGGGGAAUGCUAUUGAAGGAAGCAUGGACAGUGGGGUGCCACCCGCACGGGUGUAUACUUACAAAAAAUAAAUGCACCUGUUAGGGGCAUAAUCAAAACUGUGGCCUUUGGGGUAGAGUUCAAAGACCACUGCUAUGGAUUAUAUACCCUAGAAGUACAUAUAACUGAUUGAAGGAAGGAGUGAGGGAUUUUUUUUUUCCCCACCACCUUGCAUCCAUCCAUCCUUCUCCUGGUAAAGCGGUAAGGUGCGUUUUGUGUGUGGGCUCAUCUCUCCCCCAUUCUCAGCCAUGCCAUUGUGAGGGGGUCCUAAUUCGCCUUGGCUCAUCAACUUCUCCCACACCCUUGGCCAAUAGGAUUGGUGCGGGUUGCUGAGAGUCAGGUCCAAGAUUUACAUUCAGCUCCUAGAAGGGGCACAGUGGACAUAAAGCUCUCAGCCCAUGAAGUCUGGAGCCACCCAAACCCCCCUACCACCCAGAUAGGAGAGCACAGCCCUCAUCUAGAGGAGAGGGGAGAAGCCACACCGAAAGGACCAGGUCUUGGCGACCCCAUUUUAGCUCCGUCUCAAACUGCAUCGAAACACAGCAUCACUUGUGGUGAGGAGCCGUAUUGGACCAGGUACAUGAGGUCAACCCCUACAACUGGCAGAGUAACCAGGUGGAAAGAGCCUGGGACAGGUGACUUCCUGGAGCAGAGCCACAGUCUCUGGCUGGAUGUUGAUGUGAAAGAGAAAUCAAUUUCCAUCUUGUUAAAGCGAUUGUUUACAUAAGAGUCAUUGUUUUAGUGGCUAGACUAUAACCUAACGGGUACACAUGUAUUAUUUCAUUUAAUUUCUUUUUAAUGAUCUUAUUUCAUUGCCCAAGGUCUUACAAGCAAGUGGGUGCAGGGCGAGAAUUUGGGCCCAGGACUGGCUGACUCAGUAUUCUCUGCUCUUGCGGGCCCUCGGCUAACUCUCUUCCCUCCAUGCUGGGUGGGGUCACACCUUUUACUCUGUGCUGUCGUGUCUCUUUGCAUGUGGCCGCUUUGGAGCCAGAAGCUGUGCGGUUCCCACUUGCAUUGCCCCGGUCAGGCUGGGCCCUGGUGCUCCAUAGCUGUUGAUCCAAUAAAUAAUAAAUGGUGUUACUGAACUUCAGAACAGAUCUAGCAGGCUGUUGGAGGAUCAAAUGAGAUCAUGUUUGAGAAGAGGUUUUGAAAACUACACAGCGGUUAUAGUUAGCCCUUUUGUUAGGAAAUCCCCCAUAUUAGGGGCAGGAAUGUGGCUGUUUCUGGCUCUGCCUUUUGGUGCCUUCCUCUGAGAGACAGGCCUUGGGGUCGUGUUACUCUUAAGAGUCAGAGGGCACCUUUGAGACCACUCAGAUGUACCUCCUGGUGCCCUCCCACCCCCCACCCCCACAUCAGGUGCACUUGUCCUCUUGAUGGCUUCACCAAGGGGUCAAUUGGUCAGUGACCCUCCCAACAGCUGGGCACAUGGGCAAAAUAGGACUCGACAGUGUAGGGUAGGGGACAAGUUCCGUUCCGCUCCCCAGAUAGAUCCAUGAGUUCUCUCCUUUUUGCCUCUGCACGUGCGCUUUCCUCCCCAAUAGUCCGAAAUCCUCUUUCUUUCUUUUUUUGUUUUUUUUUUAAAGUUUACUUAUUUAUUUUGAGAGAGAGUGCAGGAGGGGCAGAGAGAGAGGGGGAGACGGAGAAUCCCAAGCAGGCUCCACACCGUCAGUGCAGAGCCCGACACGGGGCUCCAACUCACGAAUUGUACGAUCACGACCCGAGCCAAAAUCUUCGGAGCCAUCCAGACACCCCCGGAGUCCUCUUUCAAGUUCAGGCUCAAAGUCACCUGCCCUGUAGAAGUCUUCCAAGUUUGGCAGGGGCAUUUAGGUGGUCUCCUCUCUUUCUUGCUGUGUCAUUUUGUACUUAACUCUAUUAUAAGACAUAUCAAAUUACAUUUUUAUUUGUGCUUUUUUAUAAACCCACUUCCUCACCCCUCCAAACUAUCACCAUCACCCUUCUUACAUGAGAUUUUCAAGGACAGAGACUUGUCUUACUCUCUUGAUUCUCCAGCACCUACCUCAGUACCUGGCACCUGUUGAUAAUUUAAUGAACGCUAUUGAAGGGAUGAGUGAGUAAACACGUGAGCAGGGGCUGAAAACUUGGUCCCUGGCAUGAGACAAACUCAUGUCCAAAUCCCCUUGACGAAUCAUACUCAUCCACUCAUUCAAAUUUUUAGUGAGUACCUAUUAUAUUCCAGCCACCCUGCUCGACAUUACCAUAGGGCAAUCGGGAGGGAUGGGGUCUCUGCCUCACAAGCUUAUAUCUGAGGGAAUGGUAGAGACUGAAAAGAAAAAAGCCCAUCAGUAAGUAAACAAGUCUCUAAUAUGUCCUCCGAAGGCCAUGAACGGGGGGAGUGUGACAGUGGACCUGAAGUUGGGGUGGACUACUUUGAGUGACGAGCGGGCAGGGAGCAUCCGAGUGAGUCCCGAAGAGUGGGAAUGAGACGGCCUUUUGGAGGGCUAGGGGGAAAAUGAGGAACAGCCACCAACAGAAAAAAGGUUCUUCUCUCUCUAAGGCUUAGUUUCCUCAUCUGGACAUUGAGAUAAUAAUAGCAUCCGCUACAUGGUUUUUGAGAAGCUUAAAUGCAUUGAAACACAGCAUCCAGCCAGGCACACAGGAAGCGCUCUAUAUGUUUUAGCUCUUAUUGUCAGUUAUGGGUCAUGCGACAGAAAGGAAGCGAGGGUGAGGCCAUGUGGCCCUCUGUAAUUGCCACUUCCUUUUCCAAGGUUCCAAGCCAUCUGUUAAAUCACCCACGUAAGAAUGUUCCUGGGGAAUUAAAAAAAAAAAAAAAGAAUGUUCCUGGGCACCAACGUCCAUCUCUCUGGUCUACGGUCUCUAGAACCUCUUUCAAAUGCGUGUACAUUCCUCAGGUUGGCAGAGAAAAUAAACCAAAUGGAAACUUGUCUGUGAAAGCCCUAAACGAAGGUACUUAUUGCUACUGUGUUCUUUC